ACAUCUCAACUCCUCACGGUUCGCCCGUGACGAGCUUGGACUUUGGGGGUCUUGCCGGCCUGCAGGUCGGCUCCUCUCAAACGAAUCAGCUUGCCGGUGUUUGGUGGCGUCACGGGUGUGAUAACUAUCUACGCUUGUGGCUUUCCGCCAGGUAACCUCCAGCGAUGGGGGUUCACUGGAGCUCACAAACGUCUCUCCUCGGUGAGGACAGCUCUUUGAAC
rnacentral:misc_RNA from 1 species